rnacentral:rRNA from 1 species
UCAGAUUUGACGCUGGCGGCAGGCCUAACACAUGCAAGUCGAGCGGUAGAGAGAAGCUUGCUUCUCUUGAGAGCGGCGGACGGGUGAGUAAUGCCUAGGAAUCUGCCUGGUAGUGGGGGAUAACGUUCGGAAACGGACGCUAAUACCGCAUACGUCCUACGGGAGAAAGCAGGGGACCUUCGGGCCUUGCGCUAUCAGAUGAGCCUAGGUCGGAUUAGCUAGUUGGUGAGGUAAUGGCUCACCAAGGCGACGAUCCGUAACUGGUCUGAGAGGAUGAUCAGUCACACUGGAACUGAGACACGGUCCAGACUCCUACGGGAGGCAGCAGUGGGGAAUAUUGGACAAUGGGCGAAAGCCUGAUCCAGCCAUGCCGCGUGUGUGAAGAAGGUCUUCGGAUUGUAAAGCACUUUAAGUUGGGAGGAAGGGUUGUAGAUUAAUACUCUGCAAUUUUGACGUUACCGACAGAAUAAGCACCGGCUAACUCUGUGCCAGCAGCCGCGGUAAUACAGAGGGUGCAAGCGUUAAUCGGAAUUACUGGGCGUAAAGCGCGCGUAGGUGGUUUGUUAAGUUGGAUGUGAAAUCCCCGGGCUCAACCUGGGAACUGCAUUCAAAACUGACUGACUAGAGUAUGGUAGAGGGUGGUGGAAUUUCCUGUGUAGCGGUGAAAUGCGUAGAUAUAGGAAGGAACACCAGUGGCGAAGGCGACCACCUGGACUAAUACUGACACUGAGGUGCGAAAGCGUGGGGAGCAAACAGGAUUAGAUACCCUGGUAGUCCACGCCGUAAACGAUGUCAACUAGCCGUUGGAAGCCUUGAGCUUUUAGUGGCGCAGCUAACGCAUUAA